AUGUUGCGGACCUUUUCUGAUUGCAUGGCACAGAAGCAUCCGAUAUCUGUGAUCACAGAUGGGGACCUUGCAAUGCAGAGAGCAAUAAGGGUGGUCUGGCCAGACUCAAACCAUAGACUAUGUAUAUGGCACAUUCAGCAGAACAUUGUACGCCAUCUGCAUGAUGACGAUGUAAAGGAGGAAUUCAGAUCUUUCAUUUAUGAUACUUCUUCCAUUGAAAAGCAUGAGAUAAAAUGGAUACAAUUCUUACAACGGAAUAAAGUAAGCAGUGUGGAGUCUUGGCUGCAUCAGAUGUAUCAGAUGAGAAAGUUGUGGUGUGCUCCAUAU
rnacentral:rRNA from 1 species